UCCAUGUCCAAAGAAUUGUCAUCAAGGUUUGCUAAAGGAUUAGUAUAUAAUCAUAUCAGCCUUGGGGAAAGUCUCCGGUCAAAAUAUUAGGUGCAAGCGCCAUUGGCUAAUAUAAGCCAUUACACCGAUUGGACUAAUAGUGUCAACAUUAGCCAUUGAAGUUCUUUCUACCUAGAAUUGGGAUAUUGGGAUACGUUUAUUCGUGUGCAGAAAGGCAUCUGGAAUCUUUUCAAUGCUUCUUUUGAGCUGAGUUGAAAAGUUUGCUUGUUGCCGAUCGUACGCUAUCGAACAGAUUUAUCCUUAUCCGCAGGGUUUUGGGCAGUAUUCUCUUUCAGUGGUGUUGCAUAUUGUUAUUAUCAAUCGGUUCAAUUUCAUUCUUUCGGCAUUGGGAAUUUCGUUCCUAAGCGAUAGUUAUGACAGUUUUAGCCUAACCAGCUAACACCCAAUGGAGCUUACUUUGUGGCAUGG
rnacentral:RNase_MRP_RNA from 2 species